AAAUUGAAGAGUUUGAUCAUGGCUCAGAUUGAACGCUGGCGGCAGGCCUAACACAUGCAAGUCGAACGGUAACAGGAAGCAGCUUGCUGCUUUGCUGACGAGUGGCGGACGGGUGAGUAAUGUCUGGGAAACUGCCUGAUGGAGGGGGAUAACUACUGGAAACGGUGGCUAAUACCGCAUAACGUCGCAAGACCAAAGAGGGGGACCUUCGGGCCUCUUGCCAUCAGAUGUGCCCAGAUGGGAUUAGCUUGUUGGUGAGGUAACGGCUCACCAAGGCGACGAUCCCUAGCUGGUCUGAGAGGAUGACCAGCCACACUGGAACUGAGACACGGUCCAGACUCCUACGGGAGGCAGCAGUGGGGAAUAUUGCACAAUGGGCGCAAGCCUGAUGCAGCCAUGCCGCGUGUAUGAAGAAGGCCUUCGGGUUGUAAAGUACUUUCAGCGGGGAGGAAGGUGUUGUGGUUAAUAACCACAGCAAUUGACGUUACCCGCAGAAGAAGCACCGGCUAACUCCGUGCCAGCAGCCGCGGUAAUACGGAGGGUGCAAGCGUUAAUCGGAAUUACUGGGCGUAAAGCGCACGCAGGCGGUCUGUCAAGUCGGAUGUGAAAUCCCCGGGCUCAACCUGGGAACUGCAUUCGAAACUGGCAGGCUUGAGUCUUGUAGAGGGGGGUAGAAUUCCAGGUGUAGCGGUGAAAUGCGUAGAGAUCUGGAGGAAUACCGGUGGCGAAGGCGGCCCCCUGGACAAAGACUGACGCUCAGGUGCGAAAGCGUGGGGAGCAAACAGGAUUAGAUACCCUGGUAGUCCACGCCGUAAACGAUGUCUACUUGGAGGUUGUGCCCUUGAGGCGUGGCUUCCGGAGCUAACGCGUUAAGUAGACCGCCUGGGGAGUACGGCCGCAAGGUUAAAACUCAAAUGAAUUGACGGGGGCCCGCACAAGCGGUGGAGCAUGUGGUUUAAUUCGAUGCAACGCGAAGAACCUUACCUGGUCUUGACAUCCACAGAACUUUCCAGAGAUGGAUUGGUGCCUUCGGGAACUGUGAGACAGGUGCUGCAUGGCUGUCGUCAGCUCGUGUUGUGAAAUGUUGGGUUAAGUCCCGCAACGAGCGCAACCCUUAUCCUUUGUUGCCAGCGAUUAGGUCGGGAACUCAAAGGAGACUGCCAGUGAUAAACUGGAGGAAGGUGGGGAUGACGUCAAGUCAUCAUGGCCCUUACGACCAGGGCUACACACGUGCUACAAUGGCGCAUACAAAGAGAAGCGACCUCGCGAGAGCAAGCGGACCUCAUAAAGUGCGUCGUAGUCCGGAUUGGAGUCUGCAACUCGACUCCAUGAAGUCGGAAUCGCUAGUAAUCGUGGAUCAGAAUGCCACGGUGAAUACGUUCCCGGGCCUUGUACACACCGCCCGUCACACCAUGGGAGUGGGUUGCAAAAGAAGUAGGUAGCUUAACCUUCGGGAGGGCGCUUACCACUUUGUGAUUCAUGACUGGGGUGAAGUCGUAACAAGGUAACCGUAGGGGAACCUGC
rnacentral:rRNA from 1 species